rnacentral:rRNA from 1 species
UCCCAGACUCCUACGGGAGGCAGCAGUGGGGAAUAUUGCACAAUGGGGGAAACCCUGAUGCAGCGACGCCGCGUGAGUGAAGAAGUAUUUCGGUAUGUAAAGCUCUCUCAGCAGGGAAGAAAGUGACAGUACCUGACCAAGAAGCCCCGGCUAACUACGUGCCAGCAGCCGCGGUAAUACGUAGGGGGCAAGCGUUAUCCGGAUUUACUGGGUGUAAAGGGAGCGUAGACGGUUAUGUAAGUCUGGAGUGAAAGCCCGGGGCCCAACCCCGGGACUGCUUUGGAAACUGUGUAACUGGAGUACAGGAGGGGCAGGCGGAAUUCCUGGUGUAGCGGUGAAAUGCGUAGAUAUACGGAGGAACACCAGUGGCGAGGGCGGCCUGCUGGACAUUAACUGACGCUGAGGCGCGAAAGCGUGGGGAGCAAACAGGAUUAGAUACCCGUGUA